CCGCGGGCUGCACGCCCGACAGCGGCCGAGGGGCACCGCGGGCAGCGGGGAGGGGAGCGGUGCCGACCCUGCGGGACUGCGCGUCCAUCGGCACGGUGCGGAGCGAACGGUCGCGUCUGUCGUCCGGCUCCGGCCUCCGCGCCUCUCCUGUCAGCCUUCAGCAAACCUGUCUCUCAGACCUGAGGGCUUCAGGGAAGGACUCCGGCUGUCAGUACGGUGCCUGGCGGCCCGCCUUAAUGCGAGCACAUUAUCAGCUUCUGAUGUCCAAUGAUUAUACUGCCAACUGUCUACAAGACAGGAAAUGGGUGAAACAGAAGAAGUGGCAGUGAAAGAAAACCUGAUGCCCCAUCAAAGACAAAUAUGUCAAAUGUAGAAGAAAGUGUGAAGUACUCCUAUAGAAAAGAAUCCGUCAGAAUUCUGGUUUUCCUUUUCUCUGAAGUGAUUUCCAGGCUGCCAGCAACAAAGUAAUCCAUUUUACAAAACCUAUUGGAGCCUGUAUGGGAACUGUUGAGUCACUGCCUGAACCACUGACAGAGCACCUGGGAAAAGGACCCAGUCAGCCCUGGGCGCACAAGUGAAGGCAAUUCACCUGUGAAAUAGGAAGGGGUGGAGUCUGGCUGCACCUCUGUUAGAUCUCAUUUGAGGGAACCUAGAAUCUUCUGAUAUGGGUGAGCAAUCUUCUUCCCUUCCUUUAUAGCACCUCUCUAUUGUGGCAGUCCUUUUGUCAUCACACCUUUGUCAUAAGG
ensembl:lncRNA